rnacentral:rRNA from 1 species
CAGUAGCCGCGGUAAUACGUAGGGUGCGAGCGUUAAUCGGAAUUACUGGGCGUAAGGCGCGCGUAGGUGGUUUGUUAAGUUGGAUGUGAAAUCCCCGGGCUCAACCUGGGAACUGCAUUCAAAACUGACUGACUAGAGUAUGGUAGAGGGUGGUGGAAUUUCCUGUGCAGCGGUGAAAUGCGUAGAGAUCGGGAGGAACAUCAGUGGCGAAGGCGGCCAUCUGGGACAACACUGACGCUGAGGCACGAAAGCGUGGGGAGCAAACAGGAUUAGAUACCCGCGUAGUCCCUGUCUCUUAUAC